UACGUAGGGUGCAAGCGUUGUCCGGAAUUAUUGGGCGUAAAGAGCUCGUAGGCGGUUUGUCGCGUCUGCUGUGAAAAUCCAGGGCUUAACCCUGGACCUGCAGUGGGUACGGGCAGACUGGAGUGCGGUAGGGGAGAUCGGAAUUCCUGGUGUAGCGGUGAAAUGCGCAGAUAUCAGGAGGAACACCGGUGGCGAAGGCGGGUCUCUGGGCCGAUACUGACGCUGAGGAGCGAAAGCGUGGGGAGCGAACAGG
rnacentral:rRNA from 1 species